GACGUAGGGCGCGAGCGUUGUCCGGAUUUAUUGGCGUAAAGAGCUCGUAGGCGGCUUGUCGCGUCGACUGUGAAACCCGCGGCUCACCGCGGGCCUGCAGUCGAUACGGGCAGGCUAGAGUUCGGUAGGGGGAGACUGGAAUUCCUGGUGUAGCGGUGAAAUGCGCAGAUAUCAGGAGGAACACCGAUGGCGAAGGCAGGUCUCUGGGCCGAUACUGACGUGAGGAGCGAAAGCGUGGGGAGCGAACAGG
rnacentral:rRNA from 1 species